AAAAGGCUAAGGGUUCAGGAGAAGGGAUGAAAAGGCUAAGGGUUCAGGAGAAGGGAUGAAAAGGCUAAGGGUUCAGGAGAAGGGAUGAAAAGGCUAAGGGUUCAGGAGAAGGGAUGAAAAGGCUAAGGGUUCAGGAGAAGGGAUGAAAAGGCUAAGAGUUCAGGAGAAGGGAUGAAAAGGCUAAGGGUUCAGGAGAAGGGAUGAAAAGGCUAAGAGUUCAGGAGAAGGGAUGAAAAGGCUAAGAGUUCAGGAGAAGGGAUGAAAAGGCUAAGAGUUCAGGAGAAGGGAUGAAAAGGCUAAGGGUUCAGGAGAAGGGAUGAAAAGGCUAAGAGUUCAGGAGAAGGGAUGAAAAGGCUAAGGGUUCAGGAGAAGGGAUGAAAAGGCUAAGAGUUCAGGAGAAGGGAUGAAAAGGCUAAGAGUUCAGGAGAAGGGAUGAAAAGGCUAAGAGUUCAGGAGAAGGGAUGAAAAGGCUAAGGGUUCAGGAGAAGGGAUGAAAAG